ensembl:lncRNA
UGUCAACACAGUAGUGAUGUUGCUAAAGUUGUACCAAGAAAGGUAGACACAGUCCAACAGUUACCAUCCCAAAAAAGAAAACAUUUGGAUACUUUGGAGAUGUUUUGAUUAUUUUUGAUGAGAAAAUAUUUUGUUAUUAUUUUAAAUAUCUCAUUAUUUCAUUCUCUCAGGUACUUUUUCAGUUCCCAAUUUUUAAUAUUGGCCACUCGUUGCUGAGGAGUAAGCCUACAGUUGUGUGGUAAAUAAGCAGGAUUUAGACUCUUCCAGUAAACAUAAUUCUUCCAGAAGCAAUACAAACCCUUUCUAAAAUACAAACUCUAUAGCAUACUAAUUUGUCUCCACUAUUUAAUACCAGGUAUUUCAUGUGACAACAGUGAACUAUUUUUAUCCUUGCAGAUGGCUGUGAUGCAAGGCUUCUGACAUCAUCCUAAAGCAUCUACAGGCAUAAAUUUUUAAGAACAUAAAAAGUUUAUGAGGAUGUGGAAUCACGGAGAAAGAGUCCGGAACUUUUGUGAAAACAGCAAAAGAAAAAUGUAAAAAGCUAAGCUACAGCACAUACCAGAGGCUGAAGGCUGACUAACAUAAAUCCCAUACAUAUGUAGUAGGAAGUAAUACCAAGAGGAAACUGGAAGGCCUAAUUAAAUGAAGCUCAUACCUGAUGAAUGUUCCUGAUGGCACUGGAAUAAUGCAGCAGAAAUGAAGCAGUACACAACAUGGAUCUUGAUUUUAGAAAGGCUUCCUAUACUGUACAAACAAGUCAAAUUCCAUAAUCUAGCUGCUGAGGUAAUAGUGUGCAGCCGCCAACAGCAGACUGCUAAUUAUUAUUUUUUUAAUUUACCUGGUUGGAAUAAGGUAAAAAUCCAGAAAGGUAUAAAGAUUCAUCACUAAAAUUUAGGUGCAUCAUUUCUAUAUCAAUUUAAAUUUAGAAGGCUAAGAAAUGUGUAAUCUAAGUGGUUCUCUGGAUAUUGGUUUGUGGUUGAACCUUUAUUGGGGUAAAACUCAGCACAUGGUAGCUGUGGCCACCUGAACUUUUUCCAUUGUUUCAUCCUUGAAAAUUUGGGUUAUAGCUGUUUGAUUUAUAAGAAAACAUUGUGUUUGAAAAGGAUAAUUUUCAAACAAAAGAAGAAAGUAGCAAUUUUUCCAGUAAAAAAUUUCUGAUAGGAUCAAUAUAGCAGAGGUGGAAGUAGCUUGGUUCAGCUUUAGGCAUUCAGCUUAAUCUGAAGAGUUUUUAUUUUAGCAAAUCUAUCUACUCACCUGCUGGCUUAUCUAAAAGUCUACUGGGGUGUCUGUGCAUCUCUUGGCCUAUCUGUAUAACGGUAAUAAACAUAAUGGAACAGUUCUGGCAUCCUACUCAAUAACAGAGUGAGAAGAAAACUCCAAGAAAAGACAAAAUCCUGCUGAAAACCAGCCACUGAGAAAACUCCAUAUAUGACAGCCAACAUUACACUCCUGACUACAAAAUUCAGAGACCUAUGCAUUUUAACCUGUAAUCACAACCUUUGAUCACAAGGCGUCUCAUGUUCAACAUUCCUUUCAAGGCUCCUUGAUGCUGUAAGAAACACCUGCAAGCAAUCAGCUGGUGCUCUGGAGAAUGCUUUCAGUUCCAGGACAGAAAACGUAAAGAAACAUGAACAUUACAUGAAAAGCUUAUGUGGACAUUUUAUAUAUUUGUAGGUAUCUGCCUCUUCUCCCGAAGCCUUUAGAAGCUGUACUUCAUAGUGGAAAGGUAGUAGCCAAAGGCCCUGCAAACCGUCAUGUGUUUUUCUCUUCCACUUGCCAGUUGAUUGACUUAGAAAGGAGACACCACCACUCAGAGCCUUCCUCAGUUUGUGAGUCACUCUCUCCUCUCCCACCAGGCAGCUGGGAUCAGCAGACAUUAGGUAAUUAGCAACGUUGGCAGAAAACCUGCUGAAGCUGGACCACCAUGCUGUAGUUUCUCAGAGAAAUAAUUAUUCCUAACUCUGUAACAGGAUGAAAUGAAAAUUCUCUGGAGAAGAUGCUGGGAGCAACACUUGUCUUUUUGCAUUAGGAAGCACUCGAACAAAAUGUUGUGACAGCCAGGCCUAGUUCCUGAGAUUUAUUUUUUUCUGAGGACUAUCUGUCUGCACUGGUUUCUGGAGAGGCUCAUUUCAUCUCCAUCAGGGAGGACAGAAGAGUGCUCAAGUACUUCAGUCUGGCUUGAUGCAACCAAGACAUCAAACUCACGCUCAGGUUUCAGCCUCAGAGGUCGGAACUAAAAGCAGCUGAGAAUCCAGAUCUUCAUCUUCCGAAGAUAACUGAGCACAUUUCUCCUCCCCAGGAUGCUGGAUAAUCUGUUUGUGACCACGGAGCUGGCAAGUCUUAUCAGUCAGCCUUAUCAGCAUCUUUUAGGCUACCCUGAGCAUAUGCAGUAGCAAAGGGCCAUUCAGGAAGAGCUGCAGAGAUUUGUAUGUUGUGACUCCUAAACAGCCCCAGUCUCCCAGCCCAGUCAAGGUGGUCAUGCACAGAAUUUUAAACACCAGAGAUACUGAGGAGCAUAGGUGUGAAGAACACGCCGUAUUAUUCUCUUAAAAAUCAGUGUUUUAAAUGUGGCCUAAUGUAUUCCUAAGAUAUUUGUGUUCUUGUGUUGUUGCUUCAAAAUAUAGUGAAAAUAACAGGCAAAGAAAUAUAUAUGUGGGAUUGAUUAAACAUUCAAGAUGAAACUCUGUGCUCUUGAUCAGUUUUCCUGAUAGUUCUAUAUCUCUUGCAAUUCUUUAAUUUAUCCCUUCUGAUACGUGUCAGCAGAACUACGUGGAGAUUUUGUUCUGCUCUUUAUUACUCCAAGGUCAAAAUCUAUGAAGUAAGAUAAAUAAUUUAGUGAUUUUGCCCUUUAUACUGAGAGAUGUUAACAGGUACAAUGCAGCCAGGAACGUCUUCAAUUAUUUAAUUCACACAGUCAAAUGAAAGGAACACUGCUGAAACACUUGCCUAAAUUAUAUCUGUAUUUAUUUAAGAUGUUUUGCUAUCAAGCAGUGUUAAAAGCAGUACGAGUCUUAUUAAAACAACUACUUUUAUCUUGGCAAUCUUCCUUCUCUACUAACACCCUUUAAUGGUUUAUUGAAGGGCUUCCCCUGUCAGGUAAAAAAAAGUCCCAAAGUUACCUGCUUUACCGUCCAUAUUUUCAUCAUCCGUAUUAAAUAAUGCAAUCACCACAAGCAUUAUAAAUUGUAAGAAUCAAUGCUGAGCAGGGACGGCAGUCCAGCCCUAAAGCCAAGGCUGUAUUCCAACAGUUUCAGUAUAGAACUUCUGGCUGGGGCACAGAUGUUCAUUUUCAUGCUGUGAUCUCCAUUCUCCUACUCCCCUUCGCCCAGCCGCGGUUGGCACUGCAGACACGUCUUUAUUGUAACUUUGUACUUGUGUGGAUUGCUUUAACAAGUAUUGGCAAGUCGAGUAUAUGACGGUUGUAAAUUUAGCAGUAAAUAAAAGGCCUUAGGUAACCUUUUCCCCUUUUCUGGGGUUUAUUAUAUAUUGCUUUGAUUAUUUGAUUAAUAUCUAAACAGUAUCAUCUUUGUAACAUGCUGCCACAAAUAUUUGAGGGAGGAUCAUUUCAUCUAGCUGAAAUACCUGCAGACAUGCCCCAGGACAGUCAUCACUACAUGCUAGCCAUUUGUCUGCUCCAGGUGUGGCUUGGUGCUCUCCAUACAGAGCCUGCAGUGCUGGGCCACCUGCUUCUGGCUUGUGAGAACUCUGGGGGUGACAGAGGGCAGGUCUACCAACCUCCGUGCCUCCUGCUGAAAUGGCCACCUGGGAGAGAAGACUGCAAAAUUCCCAAAGACAGAGGAUCGAAGAAAGAAGAGCAUGACUCAAGAGCCGAAUGAAUAACACAGCUGUCUAAAGGAUGGGGAAUAUGGGGACUGCUCCCUGCUACGGAAAUCUUCAUGGCUCCGGAUGGGUUUUUGACCUGAACUGCAAAAGCAAUCCGAGAACGUGGACCCAAAACCUAGGCGUUCUGGUAAAGUCUUCUGAUCAUCAAGGUACAAAAUCCUGCUUUCUCACGUUUGCUGCCACUAGGCCUUUGUCUUGAAGAAACAGGAGCAACUUCUUUGUCUUCUAUAGGUUAGAAGAUGAAAGCUGUCCUAAUCUCUGCUUUCUUUGAUCACUUAUCAAACAAGAACCUGCCACCUACCAGGAUCUUUUAAUAGCAGUGCAAACAGCUCCUAAAGCUGUUGAGGAAUGCUGUUUGCUCCACACCUGUGGAAAUGGAAGGAAUUUGUCAGGAAAAAAACCAAGACAGAAAAUUUUCUACAUUUCAAAGCUGCUUGAAUUUUAUAAUGUUCUCUUUUUACUUUAAAAUAAUGCUUUCGAUAGUUCUGUGGAAUCUUUUGUUUUCCCUUAACAGAAGCAGCCUCCACUCAAUAUUAGUCAAUAUAUAUUAAAUAUAUAUAUAUCAACAAACCAACAAUGUCCAGCUCUGCAAUAUAUGUGUUAUCUCUUUC